rnacentral:rRNA from 1 species
UACGAAGGGGGCUAGCGUUGCUCGGAAUUACUGGGCGUAAAGGGCGCGUAGGCGGAUAGUUUAGUCAGAGGUGAAAGCCCAGGGCUCAACCUUGGAAUUGCCUUUGAUACUGGCUGUCUUGAGUUCGGGAGAGGUGAGUGGAAUGCCGAGUGUAGAGGUGAAAUUCGUAGAUAUUCGCAAGAACACCAGUGGCGAAGGCGGCUCACUGGCCCGGUACUGACGCUGAGGCACGAAAGCGUGGGGAGCAAACAGG